AUAAAUAAUAGAGGGAAACAUUGAUAGGUCCUUUUCGUGACUGAAGUCCUCUGCUGCCAGAUUAACAAGGUCUGUGGUGGUUCUUCUACGGGAGACACCUUUAAACCUUGAAUGAUCUUACUCAUGAAGGAGGUGGAGGUCAUGUAAAUCCUUGCUGCCAGGGGCAAGGACAUCUGGCCCAGUGCCAUUCAUAGAGGAACCUCAGCAUUUGCAUGAGUUCCUCCUUGUUUUGCGCUGGUGUCCAGAUGCGCAGAGGCCUGACUGCUGUGAAGAUGAUGUUUAAGUUUAAGAACUUUCAAGUCUAGUGUCAAGUCUACUAUCAAGAACACAUCAAGAUACACAGAAGUCAGACUGAUGUGAAGCCUGAUGAUUUUUGUUGAACCCUCAAUUCUAUGAACCUCUAAAGUCUACUAUUAUGAUCUCAUCUAUAUACGCAGAGUUUAUCAAGUCUACGAAGUCUCAAGUCUACUAUUAUGAUUGCAUCUGUAUUACUAGAGUCUAUCAAGUCUACGAAUUCUCAAGUCUACUAUUAUGAUCUCAUCUAUAUACGCAGAGUCUAUCAAGUCUACAAAGUCUCAAGUCUACUAUUAUGAUCGCAUCUAUAUAUGCAGAACCCAGAACUGGUGUGAAGCCUGACGUUUUAUUGCCGAACCCUCAAGUCUAUAAAGCCUACUUUUAUGAUCACGUCUCGAUACGCAGAGCCCAGAACUGGUGUGAAGCCUGAUCAUUUUUUUUUUUUGUUGAACCAUCAUCUACGAAGUCUCAAGUCUACUUUUAUGAACGCAUCUAUAUACGCAGAGUCUAUCAAGUCUACGAAGUCUCAAGUCUACUAUUAUGAUCUCAUCUAUAUAUGCAAAGCCCAGAACUGGUGUGAAGCCUGACGUUUUUUUGCCGAACCCUCAAGUCUAUGAAGCCUACUUUUAUGAUCACGUCUCGAUACGCAGAGCCCAGAACUGGUGUGAAGCCUGAUGUUUUUUUUUUUGUUGAACCAUCAUCUACAAAGUCUCAAGUCUACAUUUAUGAACGCAUCUAUAUACGCAGAGUCUAUCAAGUCUACGAAUUCUCAAGUCUACUAUUAUGAUCUCAUCUAUAUACGCAGACUCUAUCAAGUCUACGAAGUCUCAAGUCUACUUUUAUGAACGCAUCUAUAUACGCAGAGUCUAUCAAGUCUACGAAUUCUCAAGUCUACUAUUAUGAUCUCAUCUAUUACGCAGACUCUAUCAAGCCUACGAAGUCUCAAGUCUACUAUUAUGAUCUCAUCUAUAUACGCAGAGUCUAUCAAGUCUACGAAGUCUCAAGUCUACUAUUAUGAUCGCAUCUAUAUAUGCAGAACCCAGAACUGGUGUGAAGCCUGACGUUUUUUUGCCGAACCCUCAAGUCUAUGAAGCCUACUUUUAUGAUCACGUCUCGAUACGCAGAGCCCAGAACUGGUGUGAAGCCUGAUGUUUUUUUUUUUUGUUGAACCAUCGUCUACAAAGUCUCAAGUCUACAUUUAUGAACGCAUCUAUAUACGCAGAGUCUAUCAAGUCUACGAAGUCUCAAGUCUACUUUUAUGAACGCAUCUAUAUACGCAGAGUCUAUCAAGUCUACGAAGUCUCAAGUCUACUUUUAUGAAUGCAUCUAUAUACGCAGAGUCUAUCAAGUCUACGAAGUCUCAAGUCUACUUUUAUGAACGCAUCUAUAUACGCAGAGUCUAUCAAGUCUACGAAGUCUCAAGUCUACUUUUAUGAACGCAUCUAUAUACGCAGAGUCUAUCAAGUCUACGAAGUCUCAAGUCUACUAUUAUGAUCUCAUCUAUAUAUGCAAAGCCCAGAACUGGUGUGAAGCCUGACGUUUUUUUGCCGAACCCUCAAGUCUAUAAAGCCUACUUUUAUGAUCACGUCUCGAUACGCAGAGCCCAGAACUGGUGUGAAGCCUGAUGUUUUUUUUUUUUUUUGUUGAACCAUCGUCUACAAAGUCUCAAGUCUACUAUUAUGAUCUCAUCUAUAUACGCAGAGUCUAUCAAGUCUACGAAGUCUCAAGUCUACUAUUAUGAUCGCAUCUAUAUAUGCAGAACCUAGAACUGGUGUGAAGCCUGACGUUUUAUUGCCGAACCCUCAAGUCUAUAAAGCCUACUUUUAUGAUCACGUCUCGAUACGCAGAGCCCAGAUUUGGUGUGAAGCCUGAUGUUUUUUUGUUGAACCCUCAUCUACAAAGUCUCAAGUCUACUUUUAUGAUUGCAUCUGUAUACGCAGAGUCUAGUCAAGUCUACAAAGUCUCAAGUCUACUAUUUUGAUUGCAUCUGUAUACGCAGAGUC